rnacentral:lncRNA from 1 species
GACGUGCGGCACCUGAUGUCCCAUCAUGGCCUUUACCUGAAUUAAGAACUGGGCUUUGUUGUGAUGAAAUACUCAAUGAAAGAAACUCCUUGUCUUUAGGUGUCACUCUUGGUGCAGAAUUGAGACCUUCUGCACCUGCACAUUUGGAAUUUCCCAAUGCCAAACUAGGAACAAAAGAUUCACCGCCCUUUGGCCUGAUACCGGGAGGUGUCACUCUUGGUGCAGAAUUGAGACCUUCUGCACCUGCACAUUUGGAAUUCCCCAGUGCCAAACUAGGAGCAAUAGAUUCACCGCCCUUUGGCCUGAU